AGAUCUCAGCCUCCUUAGUAGCUAGGAUUACAGCCACAGGUGUUCAGCUUUCAGACAAGCUAUUGAAAGCAAAGCUUGAAUGCCACAGCAUCCUCUUGCCCCUCAUAAACAAAAACUCGGGAGAGGGUGUUUGCACAGAGCAGCUCAGGAGCCCUGAACUUUAAGGUGCAUUCAUUGCCCUAGUAUUUGCUGUCAGUUUCCCUAAUUGGAUUUUCAACCUUCUGCCUGCCCUGACCCCUCACCUUCUAUAUGCCUUCAAGACGUGUGCUUUCUCAGCCCAGUUCUUCACCUGUGUGGCUGCAUAAAAUAAGAGGUAUUCUGGUUAUGGGAAGCUGAUUUCAACCUCACACCCUACCCUUACAAUAUCCCAAGGCAUGUAAGCUUGUUUGGGAACCCUGGAUAGCAUUUCUCUGGGUUUGUUUUUGUUUUUGUUGUUCCCUUGUUUUCCUUUGCUCAGCCCAGGCUUCUUUCCCCACCCUGCACUCAGAACAGGAAUCAUUUUUUAUGGCACAUAUAACCUUUAAACCAAACAAAGUGUGUUGCUUAUAACAAAAUGAGUCUCUCUUCUGCUUUUAUUUUGAAAAGUUCUCCCAGUUGCUUAAUGUGGAGGAUAUUCAUGUGCUGAAAGCCUGUUGCAAGUAGGCAUUUGUGUAUCCCAGAGGAACUUUUGACUUAUUUCCUUAACUCUGCCUUCCUUUCUCUGUGGUUCAGAAACCUUUAACGAUCUGUGAAGGCCCGAGACUUCAGUGUGAAGUGUAGUGGUUGUGAGAGACACACACACACACACACACGUGUAAGAGCCCCACCACUUUCCCAUGCUGGGGUUUUUGACUCCCUGAAAAGCUGACCUCUCACAAAUGUUAGUUGUAAAGCACAGGGCACCCUGGGCUGGGGCCUUGAUAAUGGUUUGUGAAGUAUUUUUUUCCCUCCUUCUCUCCCUCCCUCUGAAAAGUUGUGAUGAAAAUUCUAGGCUCCUGGCCAGCCUGUGGGAUGCGAUAAACUAGAAUGUGACUGAUGCUCUUUGUUACAGCUGGGCUUUGAUUAGGUUUGUUUCCCCUAAGCUUGAUUCGCUCCCCCAGACUCCCCCAAUUUUCAUGGCUAAGGAGGUUGGCUCAGCCAAGGCUAACCUUUUUAUUUGCAGUGGUGGGGGGGCUGCUGCAUCCCAGCACAGCCCACCGUCCUCCCCCCCAGCCCCAUUGCACGGGCUUGGGAGCCAGCGGGAACAUUGUUCCUGUGCACUUGGGUUGUUCCUUCCAUGACUGGGGGGGAGGGGGCGUUAUUCUUGUUUCGUUUGUCCAUGCUGAUGGCGACAAGCUUUGUGGGAUCUCUGUGGCUUUCCCCUGUUGCUUCCACUCAAGGUGUUCCAGGAAACCAUUGUUCAACUUGAGAUUCUGUGGGUUACAAACUGUGGUAGACCAGGCUCUCUGGGGCUUGUGCCAAGUGGAGUCGGCACACAGCGGCCCUCCUUUCAUCCCCCUGGGCUCUCCAUUUCUAAAGAAAGAGGUGGUUUCAGCUUUAAAGCGUUUUGUAAAAUACUGCUGUGACC